UACGUAGGGUGCGAGCGUUAAUCGGAAUUACUGGGCGUAAAGCGUGCGCAGGCGGUUAUUUAAGACAGAUGUGAAAUCCCCGGGCUCAACCUGGGAACUGCGUUUGUGACUGGAUAGCUGGAGUAUGGCAGAGGGGGGUGGAAUUCCACGUGUAGCAGUGAAAUGCGUAGAGAUGUGGAGGAACACCAAUGGCGAAGGCAGCCCCCUGGGCCAAUACUGACGCUCAUGCACGAAAGCGUGGGGAGCAAACAGG
rnacentral:rRNA from 1 species